AUUGAACGCUGGCGGCAUGCUUUACACAUGCAAGUCGAACGGUAACAGGUUAAGCUGACGAGUGGCGAACGGGUGAGUAAUGCAUCGGAACGUGCCCGAUCGUGGGGGAUAACGCAGCGAAAGCUGCGCUAAUACCGCAUACGAUCUGAGGAUGAAAGCGGGGGACCGUAAGGCCUCGCGCGAUCGGAGCGGCCGAUGUCAGAUGAGGUAGUUGGUGGGGUAAAGGCUCACCAAGCGAACGAUCUGUAGCUGGUCUGAGAGGACGCCGAGCCCCACUGGAACUGAGACACGGCCCAGACUCCUACGGGAGGCUGCAGUGGGGAAUGUUGGACAAUGGGCGAAAGCCUGAUCCAGCAAUGCCGCGUGCAGGAAGAAGGCCUUCGGGUUGUAAACUGCUUUUGUACGGAGCGAAAAGGCUCUCUCUAAUACAGGGGGCUCAUGACGGUACCGUAAGAAUAAGCACCGGCUAACUACGUGCCAGCCGCCGCGGUAA
rnacentral:rRNA from 1 species